rnacentral:rRNA from 1 species
ACUCUUGGCAACAGAUAUCUCGGCUCUUGUUACGAUGAAGAACGUAGCGAAAUGCGAUACUUAGUGUGAAUUGCAGAAUCCCGUGAAUCAUCGAGUUUUUGAAUGCAAUUUGCGCCUGAGGCCUCGGUCGAGGGCACGUCUGUCUGGGCGUCACAUCCCAUUCAAACACGCUCCCUGCACUAUGCUAGGGAGCAGCAGAGCUGGCCGUCCGUGCCCAACGCGGUGCGGUUGGCUGAAAUAUCUCAAGUGAUGUUUUGUGGCGUGCGUCGGCGAGUGGUGAUCUUGUCCCCUUGGAUGGGAAGUCAGCGUUAGUUGAUGCGGGCUUUGUGUGGCAUCGCUCGAACUUGCUUUUCUCUCUCUUACCCUCCCAUCGGGUAGGGCGGAUUCAGCUCCAACUUUGCGACCUCAGCUCAGGCGAGAACACCCACUGAGUUUAAGCAUAUAAUUAAGCGGAGGAAAAGAAACAAGGAUUCCCCUAGUAGCGGCGAGCGAACCGGGAAGAGCCCAGCAUGAAAAUCGGGCGGCAGCAUCGCCUGAAUUGUAGUCUGUAGAAGCGUCCUCAGCAGAAAACCUGGACAAAGUCCCUUGGAAGGGGGCGCCUGAGAGGGUGACAGCCCCGUCGGCUCGGGACCCUGCCGCAUCACGAGGCGUUGUCGGCUAGUUGGGUUGUCUGGGAAUGCAGCCCUAAUUGGGUGGUAAAUUCUGUCCAAGGCUAAAUACGGGUGAGAGACCGAUAGCGAACAAGUACCACGAGGGAAAGAUGAAAAGGACUUUGAAAAGAGAGUUAAAGAGUGCUUGAAAUUGCCGAGAGGGAAGCGGAUGGAGGCUAUCGAUGCGUCUCGGUCGGAUGUGGAACGACUCAGGCUAGUCUGCUGCUCGACUUGAGGUGCAAACCAACACGGGUUGCUACAUCGUCACAAGCGCGGGUGGAUUGCCGCCUGUUGAUUUGCCGUUGCGGUGGUCGAGGAACGAAGCGUGCGCCCUUAUGGCGGGCCGUGUGCACCUACGUGCUCGUGGUGUUAGUUGGCAGGCUUUCCAUUCGAUCUGUCUGAAACACGGACCAAGGAGUCUAACAUGUGUGCGAGUCGGCGGGUUUGAAAACCUGCGAGGCACAAGGAAGCUGACGGGCGAGGUCCCCUCUCUUGGGGGGUGCAUCGUCGACUGACCUUGAUCUUAUGUGAAGGGUUCGAGUGCGAGCACACCUGUUGGGACCCGAAAGAUGGUGAACUAUGCCUGAGUAGGGUGAAGCCAGAGGAAACUAUGGUGGAGGCUCGUAGGGAUACUGACGUGCAAAUCGUUCAUCUGACUUGGGUAUAGGGGCGAAAGACUAAUCGAACCAUCUAGUAGCUGGUUUCCUCCGAAGUUUCCCUCAGGAUAGCUGGAGCUCACACGCGAGUUUUAUCGGGUAAAGCAAAUGAUUAGAGGCAUCGGAGGUGUAACGCCCUCGACCUAUUCUCAAACUUUAAAUAGGUAAGAGGGUGCGGCUGCUCCAUUGAGCCGCACCGUGGAAUCGAGAGCUCCAAGUGGGCCCAUUUUGGUAAGCAGAACUGGAGAUGCGAGAUGAACCGAAAGUCGAGUUACGGUGUCGAAUUGCGCGCUAACCUAGAUCCCACAAAGGGUGUUGGUUGAUUAAGACAGCAGGACAGUGGUCAUGGAAGUCGAAACCCACUAAGGAGUGUGUAACAACUCACCUGCUUGGUUGUGACUUAUUUGCUUGGUUUUUUUAUUGUUGUUUGUUAUGUUGUGAAGCUAGAAAGGGUGUUGUGUCGUACAUGUAGGUGGGAGGGUGUGAAGAGGUGGAAUGCUUUUCGAUUGGGUGCCUUGUUCGAUUUCUUUCAGGUUAACGGACAUCUGCUCGGCGUGCUGUUGGGCUUCCCUCUUUUCUUGGGAUCUUUGUUUCUUUGGUGUUGUUUUCUUCCCUUCUUCCUUUUUCCCCUAACUAAGCUUUGUGGAGGAGAGGUGGGACUGUUGUGGAUUGUGCCUUGUUCGAUUUCUUUCUGGUUAGCGGACAUCUACUCGGCGUGGUGUUGGGCUUCCCUCUUUUCUUUGGAUCUUUGUUUCUUUGGUGUUGUUUUCUUCCCUUCUUCCUUUUUCCCCUAAGCUUUGUGGAGGAGAGGUGGGAUUUUUGUGGAUUGGAGUUAGGGAAGGAUGAAAAGCAGUGCGUGUUCCCUGGGUGGCCACUCUAGUCCUUCUCAAUCGUCGUCCCCUGUAGUUGCCCCCCUUUUUGCGAAGGUGUGGGGUUUGGGAAGCUUUUUCUCUGUUUGUGCCUCCCCUUGUGAGCCGGUAGCCACGUUUGAUAUCUCUUGCCUUCGUGUUGUUUUCUUCCCUUCUUGCUUUUGGCCCCUAGCUUUACGGAGAAAAGGUGGGAUUGUUGUGGAUUGGUGUUCAAGAAGGACGAAGCACAGUGCGAGUUUACGGGUGGCCACCCUAGUCCUUCUUGAUCAUCGUCCCCUGCAGUUCCCCCCUUUUUGCGAAGGCACGGGGUUGGGGAAGCUUGUUCUCUGUUUGAGCCCUCCCCUUGUGAGCCGGCAGACACGUUUGAUAUCUCUCUUUCUUUCAUGUUGUUUUCUUCCCUUCUUCCUUUCGGCCCCUAGCUUUACGGAGAAAAGGUGGGAUUGUUGUGGAUUGGUGUUGGGGAAGGAUGAAACGCAGUGUGAGUUCCCGGGGUGGCCACCCUAGUCCUUCACGAUCGCCGUCUCCUGCAGUUCCCCCCUUUUUUUGUGUAGGCACGGGGUUGGGGAAGCUUGUUCUCUGUUUGAAGCCUCCCCUUGUGAGCUGGUAACUACGGUUGAUGUCCCUUUCUUUCAUGUUGUUUUCCUCCGUUCUUCCUUCUGGCCCCUAGCUUUACGGAGAAAAGGUGGCAUUGUUGUUGAUUGGUGUUCGGGAAGGACGAAACGCAGUCUGAGCUCCCAGGGUGGCCACCCUAGUCCUCCUCGGUCGUCGUCCCCUUCAAUUCCCCCCCUUUUUGCGAAGGAACAUUGCUUGGGGGGCUUGUGCUUUGCUUGAGCCCUCCCCUUGUGAGCUGGUAGCCACGUUUGAUCUCUUCUAUUUCUUUCACCUUGUUUUCUUCCCUUCUUCCUUUUGGUCCCUAGCUUUACGGAGAAAGGGGGGAAUUUUUGUGGGCUGGUGUUCGGGAAGGACUAAAAGCAGUGCGAGCUCUAGGGGUGGCCACCCUGGUCCUUCUCGAUCGUUGUUCCAUGCAUUUCCCCCCAUUUUGCGAGGGCAUGGGGCUUGGGGAGAUUGUUCUAUGUUCGAGCCUCCUCCUUUGAGGGGGGUAGGGACCUUUGUUUCUCUUUCUCUCAUGCGAUUUUCCUCCCUUUGGCCCUUGGCUUUGCAUUUGUUGUGGGGGUGCCCCUAUUCAGUGUUGU